GCCAGGUGCAGUGGUGUGUGUCUGGCAUCCCAGUUACUCAAGAGACUGAUGCAAGAGGAUUGCUUGAGCCCAGGAGUUUGAGGUCAGCCUGGCUAACACAGUAGAACCCUGUCUCUU
rnacentral:sRNA from 1 species